CCUACGGGUGGCAGCAGUGGGGAAUAUUGCACAAUGGGGGAAACCCUGAUGCAGCGACGCCGCGUGAGUGAAGAAGUAAUUCGUUAUGUAAAGCUCUAUUAGCAGGGAAGAAAAUGACGGUACCUGAGCAUGAAGCACCGGCUAACUACGUGCCAGCAGCCGCGGUAAUACGUAGGGGGCAAGCGUUAUCCGGAUUGACUGGGUGUAAAGGGAGCGUAGACGGCAGUGCAAGUCCGGCGUGAAAGGCUGGGGCUCAACCCCCGGACUGCUCUGGAAACUGUACGGCUGGAGUGCAGGAGAGGUAAGUGGAAUUCCUAGUGUAGCGGUGAAAUGCGUAGAUAUUAGGAGGAACACCAGUGGCGAAGGCGGCUUACUAGACUGUAACUGACGUUGAGGCUCGAAAGCGUGGGGAGCAAACAGGAUUAGAUACCCUAGUAGUC
rnacentral:rRNA from 1 species